GUGCUCACUUAGGCAGCACAUAUGCUAAAACUGAAACCAUAUAGAGAAAAUUAGCAUGGCCCCUGUGCAGGGAUGACACUCAAAUUCGUGAAGCAUUCCAUAUUUUU